UAUAACCACAGUCCUUUUUGUCCUUCUCUUGCCAUGAAAACAAACUGUUUUUCAUCAUGUGUAUACAAAUUGGCAUACAGUGAUUUUUCCCCUACCACUAAGAUUAGGGGAAAUGGUGAAUGUUUGUGUCACGUGUAUGAAAAGUUAACGUGAGAAGGGAUGCUAGAAAUGGGCUGUGUCAGCUAGCUGUGUUUCUGACACAUGGAAGAGGUGGGGAGACUAAGGAGGGAAUGUUACAGCCACUGCUGAAACAGCAGGGUGGCUGCUGAUGAUGCAAGUGCUGCACACAAAGGCCCAUACAGCUAAGAUGUCUAGCAAGAGCUUAUGAGUACUUGUAGUAACAAGUGUAACUAUUAGCUGGCUCACAUCUUACAAUGGAGAGUCAACAGGGUAGAAGACAAAGAUGAGACAAAAGCAAAUAAUGUUUUUCACAUAACAGAUUUAGGGAGCUACAGUGUUCUUAAAAGUUUUUUAGUUUUUUUUUUUAAUGUGAAAGUUCUAAAUGCAAUGGCUUAUUGCACAGUACAAUCACUGCAAAAUACAAUGCAGGCAGUUUGAUCCUAUUGAGAAGUGUUCAUGUCAGUCUUAGGGAGACAGGACAGAUGAUUGCUCUGCCUUGCAUAGGGCAAGCUAACCUUCCCUGGUGGGUGUUGUUUCUGUACCUACUUCAAAUGCUCAAUCAUUAGUUUGCACAAAGAUUACCAUCAUUCAGUAUUACUCUGCUUUUCACAGUGCACUGGCUUUGUUCAGUAAUACUGCCUGACAUGAUGUGUUAAACGUACUUGCAGAGCUCCCCAGAGUGCGUAUGCAGAUCUGCUUUUAGCUGCUGCUCCUUGCUGCUUCUUGUUGUCAGUUUGCCUCUGUUCCCCACAUUUAUAUCAUCUAUUACUCCUCUUUAAAAUGAGAAGGUGGAGGCUUGGGAACUCUGGGAUAAGACUUGCUGAAAACGAAAAGCCAAACUACUUACAUUUGCACUGUAUCCACUAGUAUUAUGUAUUUUCUUAAAUCCUCUUCCCAGGAAACACUGCCGUUUGGGCUGAGCCAUAAAGAAACUGGUAGCCUUGCAUGCUCUGCACCUUACUGACCUUUUGAUUUCACAAGUUUACAAGGUUAUGUUGUCUUUCUUUAGUGAGUGCUGUUCCAUAGCAGUAAAGUUAGGUAUGGAAUUGCUCUAUAUUGCCUAUUGUAGCUGCUGCUUGUUCUCCACAAUGUCACAUCAGUUCUAGCUUUAAUACCUUGUUUACAACAAUUCCAUGAAAUGUUCUUACUGUUGCAGGGCAUGGGUGAUUGUUUCAAUGCUAUUCCUUCUCUCCACAGGCAAAAGAAGUCCACAGCUUUUCCCCUGGACUAGGCAGCUACAUGUGAUUUAACUUGUGUAAUCUUACUUGGACUCAUCCGUAUGGGAAAUUUGGCCAGAAAUUUCCUGUCACAGAAACAGUGGUGAUGCUGGAGAACUGCUUGUAGGUACAGGUAUGUCAGCUCUGGAGCAGAAUGGGGCCAACUAGACAGUGUUUCUCUGGAAACUGUUUUGACAUAACAGGCAAAAGACUCAUUGUUUUGGUAGCGAGUUCCAGUCAAGUGUGGAGCUACCCAGUGGGUCCAACAAAACAUAGAUUUUUCCACUGAUGCUUUAUGAUGCAUAUCAGAAGUCAAUUCUCUUCCAUAAUUAGAUUUAUAGUUAUUCUGCUCCAAUUAUUGUGUUGGCUGCAACACUUUACAACAGACUUUUGUUCUCUACCAGUUUACAAACUAUAAUUGUGUUGAGUAGGAUACGAUUUUAUUCGUAAUUUUAGAAAUCUUGCAUACACAGCAUUAGUACAGGACUGCUGGGUAAUUCGUGCUCAUUGUUAUUGCAGUCUCUUGAAUAAUAUUGGAUGCUGAGACAGAAAGAUGUCUUUCCAGAUGCAGAGGCUGAGUCCUUUCCUGUGCAAGAACUCAAGUGCAAAGGCUGCCCAAAAUGUUAUAGCCCCAAAGAUGAGUCACAGCCUAUUCAGUCAGUGUCUAGGAGGUGCCAAAUUGCUCAUGUUUAAGUGGUGAACAACAAUUGCCAACUUUGGAAUUGACAUCAAGCCUUGAGAUACAACUUGGGGGUUUUGAUCUCAUAGCACACAUCCUUAGAGGGGAAUGUACUAUGACUUCAGUCUUAAUGGUAAGAUGGGGUUUACAAUUAAUUUUAGAAAUCAGACUUAGCCUUUUAACUGCUUAAGUGUUUCAGAAAGUUUUCUUGCAAAAUGGCAUGGUAAAAAAACUGUAGAGUGUAGCUACUUCAGGUCUGCAAUGAAAUCCAGAAGCCAAGCGACUCGUAUUCCAUUUAAAUAUGAGAUUGACUGUAGUUUCUGAGGUUGUGUUAAUUGUUCCUGAAAAAUCGGUGUUUUUUAAAAUUUUAUUUUUUUCAACAUUAAGUACCUGUUGAUACUUGAACAUCAGAAGAUUUUUAUUAAAUGUUGGAGUUAACAAUUUGUAGGAGCUUAUUCUGCAUGCUUUCGUUUAAAGGCAUUUUGAGGUGAAAAACUACUUUUGUAUUUUUCUGUUGAGGAAGGGAUAUGGAUGGGAGCAGAGCCCUUUUUUCCCCUGUCCUCUCUCAGCUUUCUCUUACCUUUCUCAUGAAGACUGAGUGUUGUAAAAUCAAAUGGAAAAAUAAUCUCAACCCUCCCCGGAUUUAUGCUGUUCUUAUUACCAUGUGCAUGUGGCACAAGUCCUAGCAUAAGGACCUCUCCUAUAGGAUAUAAGUGAAUUCUGAGAUUAUUGCCUAUAGUGACUAAUGGGAAAUAGUGCUAGGUUGGGGAACAGCCUGUGUAAUAGGAUCAAAAUCUUUUCAAACUUAUUAAAUUUCUAGCAAAAAGCCCCAAACUCUUGGUGUAUCUACAUUCAGUUUACAGCACAGUAUGAGGAAUGUCAUUUUUGGUGAAACUAACAAUGCUUGUGUGUUUCAGCUAUUUCAGUGGAUGCAAAUAGCAUCAGGUGUGAACUCUACAUAGCAUAAGAAGAGCAUGCAAUAGAUUGAAGAAGAAUAAAGGAAAGGCUAAGGAGAUUUUUCUCCUGGAAGUGCAUGUAGUCUAUAGAGUCAGUCAGUGAUGAGGGGUGAUGGCUGCAUCCCCUUGACUUAAAGCUUGUUUAACUUUCCUGCUGUGGAGCUGUUGUUAGUCUGCAGAUAAGCUACCACAUCGUAUCUGCCUCAUGCUGAUCCACUUGCUGUCAGGAGAACAAGUCCUAUCUUGGGCAGCCCUUGUGCCUACGUUGGGCAGACUCCCGUGCCUCUGCAUGCUGCACGCCCCUCCUGCAGCCUAUGGGAGAUUGAGAGAGAGCUAAUUCCAUGCAGGUAGGAACCAGCUGCUGCAGCGUUUUCUUUUUUAAGUGUAGGCCUGAAGCUGUGGCUGUACAUAGUGCCUUGCACAACCAGAAGAUUUAAAGCUGUUUUUUGAUUUUAAAGAAAUAAGAAAACACUCGGUUAAUUCCUACUGUAUUCUUGAAACCUUUGGGGUCCUGAGAAACUUCCUCAGCUGGGUUUCUUCAGUGAGAUGAAAUUGGUGUGGAGUAAUUAAGUAACCUCUAUUAUAGUAAAGGUUUGGUCAGUGUGACUCCAGGAAAAGUCAUUUUCUGGAACCUGAGCCAGGUAAUGUUAUCUUUUCACAUUGCCUGGAGUACCUGGCACUGUAGAAGCUCUAGGUCUUUGUGGUUAUCUUAGACCAACACAGCAAAUGAAUGAACAUGUUAUCUUCUUGGGAAGGCUGCUUUCUGGUGUAACACUUCCCUUACGUUAGUGAGAUAUGUAUAUGCUGAGACAAUUCCUAGAGUAAAUCUUAAUCUUUAGCCCCUUGGGUGCUCCGUCAGAUGUACUUCAGGUCCAAAGUUGAGCCUCAGGUUUGGCUUGUGUUUUGAGCUGGAAAUUAAACAAAUACAGAAGGAAAAUGAAGCAACCUCUCCAUGGAUCACCUCAAAUUUAGUCCCAAAAUUCUCUCUCUUAGAGUCAAAGCAUAGAUGUCAUACCAAAUUCUCUGGGUGAAAUACUCUGCUCUGCCUGAGCUACUCAGUCUGUUUUGGCAUGUAGUAUCAUUGCUGAUGACAUGAACCUGAAGGAAUGCUAUGCUGCAGGAGCUCCUUACUGUCACUGAGAAGAGGAAGAUGGGACAGCAGUGUAGCCUCUUCUGCAGUUGCGUCUUGCCUAGGUGACUUACACAUCUUCAGACCCUCACAAAACUCUGGCUUUCAGAGUGCUGCAUUUGGCUGCCGAUGCAAGGAGUAAGAAACAGCAGCCUUACUAUUUGUUUAAAAUUCAGCAAGGGGCUUACCAGACAUUGAAGCAAGGAAUUGAGAAGUGAAAGCAGGCUCGGUGCCAAGUGCAGCUUGGACACAGAACUAGACUGAGAGCGCUUUGCUAAGGCAAAAGAGAGCUACUGUGUGGAGGUGAGCCGAGAGGCUGAGGGACACAGAGACAGCCCUGAACUCUCACCCACUCUUGCAAUGACUGCACAGCUCCUGUCCCAAAGCCUCCAGCCUCAGCCCAGUUUCAGAAAUGGAAUUCACAAUCUCAACAGCAACCUGUUCCUGGUACGUAAAGAAUGCUUAUCAACAACUGCUAAGACGUCUGCAAGCUUUUCAGCUGAUAUCUGCAUCCUUCUGCACAAGUGUCUGUCAUUCUCUUCAUGUUCUGUGGCAGAUCUGGGCUUAGCUGGCAUUUGAUCUUGCCAGUAAAAUCUCACACUUCUUAGUAUAAUAAUGAGAAAGACUUGGGAAAGAAAAUUAAGUGUUUAUGAGUCAGAAUUCUAGACUUAGCUCUUUUGUGAGCAAUAAGCAAUUUCUGCUGCACUAAUGCAACUGGAGUGAAUAAAAUCGUGCGUCAAUCCAACUGCAGUUCUCUUUGCUGCAGAUCUACAAGUAUUAAAGAAAAGAAGGGGAAAAAAACCAUCAACUCUACAGAGCUUUAGUAGAUCAUACAAAUUAAUAAAAACAAAUGUUUCAACUUAUGCUGUCAAAGAAAAAAAAAGACUUCUGCCCUCUCCUGAUUGAGUAUUUGCUUGACUGCAUCCAUAACCAGUGAAGAGUAGAUAUUUCCAUCCAGACUUGUUGAAGAAGUGCUUCUGUUGCUGCAAAGGACAUAGUGGAUGCACUGAUCACUACGUUCUGUUAAGCCACUGGGGAAUAACCUGUGUGGUCACAGUAUGAGAACGGAGGGAAAAGUAAGUUACAGAGGAAGGUGUGACACUUCUGAGAUGGGUAACUCUCUAUCUCCAUGCUGAUAGCCAAGGUCAUGCAAACUCUUAAGCCUCUGCUCACCCCAGGGAAUCUUAGUUCAGAACAUUCCUUAUUUACAGGAUAAUUAGUCACUCGGUGUUUUGUCUGUGCCCUCACUCUUCUUAUCUCACCAUUACUUCCUCUGCUUUAAAGCUCAUGUAUCCAGGGGAUGCGGGCAGCUGAAGAAAUAUUCUUUUAAUGAGUCUCAUUUAUUAGGUGCUACUGUUGAUGAAACUAUUAGAUGGAAUCAAAAAUAGAACAUAGAUAUGGAACCUAUGUUUGCUGUCUACAAAAAAAAAAGUGUGCUAAUGCAGCUGGGUUGCUAUGGUACAAAAGCUGACAUCAGGAACAUGAAGAUGCGUUUGCCUUUUCCCAAUACUUAAGAUGGCAGGCUGAUUGACUAAUCCAGUGGGUAGGAUAUUGCACUGUUACUUAACAAGGUGCUUCUGGUGCACAAGAAAUAGAAACGGGGAUCAGCUGCUGCUGAGAACGUAAUCAAGUUUCUCAAGUUUGAUUCCAGUGUUCAUAACUGUCCAGUUUGGGAGUGUUUGUACUUAAUUCCUUUCCUUGAAUAUUUUUCUUCUGAUGCCUUUUUUAGUAUAUUCUGAUCUUAACAGAAGCCUCAGUUUUGUUCAGGUUGACUACAUGCAUUAUUUAAGCAUAGUAGAUUCUUAGGAGCAGAAGAAAAACCACGUAUACAAGUAGCAGGAAAAGGUUUAUUUUAUUUUGUUCCAUCUGAAUGUGGAUGUAAAACUUGUGAAAAUUAUUACUUAGUAGCUCUAGAAUGGGAACCUUCCUCUGUUUAUCCACUGAAAAUCUGAAGUGUGGAGAACAGCAGUAUCUGUUUAUCAUACAUUGAUUCUCCUAUGUGCUUUAAGCCAAACCAGGAGAUUUUGGCUAGGAGCAGAAAGCUAUUUACUUUGAGAGGGAGGGAUUUCACACUUAGUGAAACCCAGUGCCAGUGUUUCUAUGUACUGCACUCAGUUUUGCACCAUGCCUUCAGACCAUUUGUCUUUGGCACUGCUGCUUAGGUUUUGAAUAAGACCAAGCUCACGCUACUGCUGUCACAAGGCUUCCUGCACUCAAACCAGGAACUCUGGCAACAUGAAAGAAUCUUCACCCACAACUUAAGCUUGAAAAUCAUCUUGCCAGUAAUGAAUUCCUUCCUUAACCAACACUUACUUUCUGGGAAUAGUGAAACAAGUGCUUUGGCCGAGUAACGUGUUGCUGUGACUUUAGAUGAACUAGGUCUGCAAGCCCUCAAUAUGACUCACCUUCAUUUCUAUCACGUGUUCCUCUGCUGCUUUGUUCUCUGCCUUUAUCACAUUGUACACAUUUGUGGCUACCCAGAAGAUGGAUGGUGUUUGUUGUAAAACAUUUUGAACGUUUUUCAAGUGAGUUACGCCCUUUCUGUAAACUCAAUAAUAAAUUACAAUGAGUUACUAAUUACUAAUAGUGUUAAAAUACUAAAUGACGUAACGAGCAAACUGCCUUAGCCAUUUCCUGUAGGAAAUAAGCAUACAGAGUUAAUUUGCAUCCAGGAACUUAUCAAAAUAGAAGUCGUUACAGGACUGGAGCUUACGUUAGAUUGACAUUAAGAAAAGGUGAGCAUGU